AACGCGAAGAACCUUACCUGGGUUUGACAUCUCCUGACAGCCGUAGAGAUACGGUUUCUUACGCAAGUAAGCAGGAAGACAGGUGCUGCAUGGCUGUCGUCAGCUCGUGUGGUGACAUGUUGGGUUAAGUCCCGCAACGAGCGCAACCCUUGUCUUUAGUUGCCAGCAUUCAGUUGGGCACUCUAAAGAGACUGCCGUGGUUAACACGGAGGAAGGUGGGGAUGACGUCAAGUCCUCAUGGCCUUUAUAUCCAGGGCGACACACGUGAUACAAUGGACGGUACAGAGGGAAGCGAAACCGCGAGGUGGAGCCAAUCUCAAAAAGCCGUUCUCAGUUCGGAUUGGAGUCUGCAACUCGACUCCAUGAAGUUGGAAUCGCUAGUAAUCGCGGAUCAGCACGCCGCGGUGAAUACGUUCCCGGGCCUUGUACACACCGGUACUA
rnacentral:rRNA from 1 species